UACAGACAAACAUUAACCCAGCGUCUGACCCCUGCCUUAAAAUGCAGAGCGACUGACAAGGACAGAAGCCAGGCGAAGAGAAAGGGAGGGGGAGAAAAGGAAAACACAUUCUGUUUCCCGUAAAGCAGGAAUGGGGAGGGGGGUGAUUUUGGGAAGCUUGAUGAACCAGAAACCUUUUGAUGGUGACCAGGAAAGUCUAGCAAGACAUCAAAACCAGAGCUACGUAAAGGUGUGUGUGUGUGUGGCUGUAGGCGAAGGCGCUGUUGAUGUGCGCUGUAACACGCACCAUGUUACCUGAGGGAGGAUUUGUUUAAACGUGUUGAAGAGAUAUAAACACCAUGAAAUCCACAGAUCCUGCAUUAUGUGGCCAAAAUAUGUGGACACCCCUUCUAAUCAGCAUGUGUUUACCUAACAGCACAAAGCAAGCUCUAUAAAGACAUGAAGAAAAGCUUGAUUUAAAGAAACUCCAGUGUCCUACACAGAGUCCUGACCUCAGCCCCACUCAACAGCUCUGGAAUGAACUGGAACAUCAACUGAAACUUUCCUGACCACUGCUAGGGCAGUUGUUGCCUAGCGGUUAAGGUACUAGACUAGUAAUCAAAAGGUCUCUGGUUCAAGCCUCACCACUGCCAGGUUGCUGCUGUUAAGCCCUUGAGCAAGGCCCUUGACCCUCAAUUGCUUGGACUGUAUACUGUUAAUCACAUUGGAUAAUAGCGUCUGCUAAAUGUUGUAAAUGUACAAUACUGUGACUAAAUGGGCACAAAUUCCCACAGACAGCCUUCUCAGAAGGGUGGUUGUAGCUUUUUAUUUUGGAUUAAAGCGUCUCUUAAAUGACAAAAAUGUAAAUGUAAAAUAAGUGCCCAGCUAUACAAAUGCUCUUUUGUACCACUUAAUGGACACACAUUCCCAUAGACAUACUUCCCAUAGUCUCAUGAGAGGCCUUCUUAGAAGACUGGCUGUUAUUCUAGACAAAAAGAUCACAUAGAGGUUACUCUAUUUUAAUAGCGUUUGUUUUUGAAAUGGGACGUCCAACAAGCUCAUGGUCAGGUGUCCAAAUA